rnacentral:rRNA from 1 species
UACGGAGGAUGCGAGCGUUAUCCGGAUUUAUUGGGUUUAAAGGGAGCGCAGACGGGAGAUUAAGUCAGUUGUGAAAGUUUGCGGCUCAACCGUAAAAUUGCAGUUGAUACUGGUCCCCUUGAGUGCAGUUGAGGCAGGCGGAAUUCGUGGUGUAGCGGUGAAAUGCUUAGAUAUCACGAAGAACCCCGAUUGCGAAGGCAGCUUGCUAAACUGUAACUGACGUUCAUGCUCGAAAGUGUGGGUAUCAAACAGG